UUGACUGCAAGGAUUAUUGC
rnacentral:miRNA from 1 species